AUACGUAGGGAGCAAGCGUUAUCCGGAUUUACUGGGUGUAAAGGGCGCGUAGGCGGGAGUACAAGUCAGGUGUGAAAUCUGGGGGCUCAACCCCCAAACUGCAUUUGAAACUGUAUUUCUUGAGUGAUGGAGAGGCAAGUGGAAUUCCUAGUGUAGCGGUGAAAUGCGUAGAUAUUAGGAGGAACACCAGUGGCGAAGGCGACUUGCUGGACAUUAACUGACGCUGAGGCGCGAAAGCGUGGGGAGC
rnacentral:rRNA from 1 species